CGGGGCGUGGCGUAGUUUGGUAGCGCGUACGGCUGGGGGCCGUGAGGUCGCAGGUUCAAAUCCUGUCGCCCCGA
rnacentral:tRNA from 1 species